CCUACGGGAGGCAGCAGUGGGGGAUAUUGGACAAUGGGGGGAACCCUGAUCCAGCGACGCCGCGUGAGUGAAGAAGUAUUUCGGUAUGUAAAGCCCUGUCAGCAGGGAAGAAAGAAAUGACGGUACCUGACUAAGAAGCCUCGGCUAACUACGUGCCAGCAGCCGCGGUAAUACGGAGGGGGCAAGCGUUAUCCGGAAUUACUGGGUGUAAAGGGAGCGUAGACGGGUAAGUAAGUCUGGAGGGAAAGGCCGGGGCCCAACCCCGGGACUGCUGUGGAAACUAUUGAACUUGAGUGCAGGAGAGGUAAGCGGAAUGCGUGGUGUAGCGGUGAAAUGCGUAGAUAUUAGGAAGAACACCGGUGGCGAGGGCAGCUUACUGGACUGUAACUGACGUUGAGGCACGAAAGCGUGGGGAGCGAACAGGAUUAGAUACCCGGGUAGUC
rnacentral:rRNA from 1 species